ensembl:snRNA U6 U6 spliceosomal RNA
GUGAUUGCUUGGCAGCACAUAUGCUAAAACUGUAAUGAUACAGAGAAGAUUAGCAUGGUAGCAUGGCCCCUGCUUUUUUUUCUAUUUAAUAGCCUUUUAUUU